AAAAGAAUACAAAUUCUAAUUUUGCUUAGCCUGCAGGACAAAUUCCUGUAGGUCUUCGUGAUGAAAUUCUUUAACCUAAUAUGAUAAAUCUUUAAAGUGGAUUAUCAGCUUAGACCAUAUUAAACAAAUUCUUUGGUCAAUCUUGAACAAAAGUCUCAGCCAAGUGUUGUGUAAACAAAUGAAUGUGGAUUAAAAAGAGGCACACGGUCAUUUCAACUUUUUAAUGUGCAGGGUUGGACUUUCGAUAAUCCAGAUUAAAAAGUGGACCACACGCAUGUCUUAAAAGGAUGCAUUCUUUUCUUUUAUUAUUAACUGGUGCAAAGUUUGAAUUUAUUAUUAGAUCUAUGCUGCAAUAAGAUAAACUAAAUCAUACAUGUAAGAAGGGUCAUAACCUGUGUCACAUGAUAUUUCAUUGGUUUCUUGUAAUUUCAUGCGACUUUUCGAGAAAUUUGUUCAGAAAAUGGUUUUCUUUUUUAGAGCAGUAACAGAUUUUGUGGAAUGAAUGAAGAAAAAGAACUCAGACUUUAACAGAGAUAUAGGUGUGUAAUAAAUGUAUUUAGAGACUUAUAAGUUACUAAGGUGCAAAUCAUUUUAUAAAUAUUUAAACAGAACUUUGUUUUUAGUUACGGUAGGAGUGCAAUUUCAAAGCAGAGCAUGCAUACCUAUAUCUAUAAUUGGAAAAAAAAGAAGAAAAAGAAAAUCCAUUAAUUGAGUAUUUACAAAAUAAACUGCAAGUAUUUUUUUCAUAUUUUCAAUUUUAAAAAUUCUUUUAUACAGAGUCAAAGAUAUAUUUAAUGGUUUGUGCCUUAGUAUGUUUCUUUUACAUGAAUUUAAGUGAUAAUACGAAGUCCUAAUUAUUAUAACCCCAACUUACUGAUCCCUUUGCAUAUAGUUUCCUGGACAACAUUCUUAACUAAAGCCUUGGGUUUUGUCAAAAACAAAGUUGUUGGGUUUGGAAAUCUUAUUUGUCACUCAGUAAAUGAAUCAUAACCCA
rnacentral:lncRNA from 1 species